CCCAGGCGCCCCAUCCCACACCCCAUUUAGAGGACACUGUCAGAGCUGAUCUGAGACCAAGCCCGUGGGAAACUAUGUGCUAUAUUAUUCGAUCACUGUGGGGAAGGGUCUCCAUCCAACGUACCACCUUCAUUGUGGAUUUCCAUCAUUGUAAGUCAUGCCCUUGAUGCCCCUGUGAUUUAGUAACUCAUUUAAUAAAUGUGUUUGUUCCUGCCAGGCUGCAUCCCAUAAAGAAUGUUAAGUACCUAACCAGAAGCUAAGGCAUAAAGAAGAAUUAGAAGGGAGCAAGCAGAAAUAAAAAGUAGAAAGUUACAAAGAGAAGUAAAGAUAAUGUAAGUGAGAAAGUCACUGAGGGUACAGCUAGUGCUUUCAUUGAAUCUAAAAUUUGUCUCUUGGUUGGGAAAACAGAAUAAAAGACCCAGUCAGUGACAUAGUGUUUACCCUCUGGGAGGAAACACGUGCAUGUCAGCACGGUAAAGGCUCUGGGACGUCCUGCAGCAGAUAAGAGCAACAGCAGUACAGGAAGGCAGUGUUGUAGCACGUUGCACCUGUUAGCCUCAUGAUGACCCAGCAUGGAGUGCUGGCUGUGGUCAAUGGGCACUUGGCACCUCUGACCCCUCCUAGUUGUGUAUCUUCCUGAAAUGCAGAGGUUGGGACUCUGAAAUGGCCUGUCCAUACCUCCUACACACAGGAUUCUAGUUAGGAAAAAAGUGCCACCAGCAAGGUGCCCUGUAGUGAGAUGGGGAAGGUUGAAGCUAUGCUCUUGAGUGUUAGCUGUUUUUACUAUCCAGUGGGCCUGGUUGUGGGGCUGCUGGUGUCCAGCGACCGACUUUGGGCACAGGGAGGCUGGGGUGCUGGGGUCAGUGGACUGACUUUUUCAUAGCCAGGCCAGUGCAGCAACGGCAUUGGAGGCUUCCUGGGCAUGGCCCAGGCUCUUCAAGCAGGGUCCAAUGAACCCUCACUUUUCUGAUUGUGGUUGAGGUUGGCAAGUCAGUCCUGGCAAGUCAGUCCCACUUUCUUUUUCUUCUAGGACUCACUCCUGUAGGCACAGCCCAGAAUUUUCCCCUCCAGCCUUUUCAGGGAAUUUUGUCAAUACCCAAAUUCCCCGUGUUGAAUCCUUUCCACUUAGAGAGGAUUUCCACUUUUCACAUUGUUGUCUGUGUCCUGCAUCGAACUGUGACUGACCCAGGCAGGUGCCAAUCAUUCCUAUUUCGUGAUGAGGAAACCAAGUCACAAAAAGCCUAAAAAGUUUGCAAAGUCACAAAGCUAACAAAUAGCCAGGCUGGGACGCAUAUUUGGUUCAGUCAGGUGGCAAAAUCCACUCUCCCAACUACUUAAUUUUGUUUAACUCAGAAUUUUCCAAACUAAGGGAUUCCAAAAACUUUCUAUGCAACAUUGGUGGAUAGUCUAUGGGAAUAAUUUUCAACAAGACCACCUUCAGACACUGUUUCUUUCAGGUAGUACAUUCUGGCCGGGCGGGAACUGGCUAAAUCAGUGGUGGGAGAAGAAAGGGGGUGUUUCCUUAACCGGAAUCUGGAAAAAUUGGAGCUUAGGAGCUGGGCAGAAAAAGCACAGUCUCUUCAGCACAGCCCAGGAGCCUUGGAUGGGCAGAACAUGAGGUCAUCGUGGUGUAUGUUUGAGGACAGGACUAGCAGCACGUCCUGGGGGUCCUUAGUCACUUUUCUCCAUCUGUGAAAUGAGACCAACCAUGCCAUCCACUCACUGGUAUUUUGUAAUGGGAUGUUCUCAUCAGAAUUCUUCCCGUUGUGACCUCAGAAGUCCAAUUCAAACUAGCUUUAGCAAAAGACAAACAUUUGGUUUUCAGCCUCCACCUCACACCCUCAUCCUGUCUGCUAACUUAGGGCAGCAUCAUUGUGUUGGUCCAGAACUCUCUCAUCCUUCAGAGCAGUUCAGGGGCUGCUUUCUUCUUCCGUGGCUCUGGGUCUGAAGUAAGUCCAUUCACCUGGAAGCCUUAACUCUGAAAUCUGGAAAGAAGAGACAGGGUCUGGUUGAUCUCUUUCAAGAGACAUCUGGACACGUGCAAAUGAACUCCCUUCUCCCCAGAGCUCUGCAUGCCCAGAGGAGGAGCGGACUUUGUUAAACUACGCACACUCAUGCAUCAGCACACAUGUAACCACACGCACAUGCACAGUCCUAUAAUUCAUGGGACAUCGGAGAUGUCCCAUGGAGAUGGGCUUUUUCUUACUGAGGGUGGAGGUUGUUAGGAAGGGGUUUGAGGGGAGAACGGAAAAGGGGGCAGAUGUGUUGGCAAAAGGGGCGGAAGAUCCCCUCCCCUCCCCACAACCUUGGUCUUGGGAGUUUCGGUUGUAAGGAUAAGACUGAUGUAAAUCAAUGCUCAGUGAUAGAAGAAUUCUGAGGAGGGCCACCUGUUUCCCCCCAGGUCUUCUAGCCACCCCUUCACACCGGUUGUGUCUGCUCUCCCUCUGUCCUUUAUACCUUCUGGGAUUCAUGGUCAUUAUGUUUAUGGUAAGUGCUUCAGGAGUUUGCAGAGCUUGACCCAGGCAGGAAGAGCCAUAAAGUCUGAUGCUCCCUCUGGGAAACUGGCCCACACUGGUGCCUCGAACCUUCUUGGUGGUCUCAAACCUCUGCCAACUGGCUGGCUGGAGCUGGGGCCUUGGGGGCUCCAUGGCAGAGAGAUGCCUGAUUUCCCAUCAAAUUGGAACAUGCACUAGGACAUCUGAAAUGAGGGAAAGAAACGUGCGAGCAUGGUAGGGUGGGAGGAGCACCAUCCUAAAAGGAAGGAGACCUGAGCUUGCUCUGUCAUCUGCAAGUGGUGUGACCUUGGACAAGUCCUUUUGCCUCCCUGGGCCUGGAUCUGCUCCUCUGUGAGAUGAUGUUGUGGUUGGAAUGACUGAGGUACAAAGUGCCCUUCAACCAGAGGCAGGAGAGAUUUCUGUGAAAUAAUGACUGUAAUUUGGACCCUUCAAGAACAUAGCCUCCUCCAGACUUUGCAGAGAGCACCUGAGCUUCUGGAUCCCUACUUCUGAGUCUGUUUCUCUGUCUCAGGACACCAGGCCAGUGCAUGAGUCGGGAGGGGUUCACAGGGCCUUGCAGGAUCGUGGGGCCUGGCUAUUAAGCAAGGACUCAGCACCCCCUGGAAUACCCCUACAGUCCCACAUAGGCCUUGCCACAUAUCUCAAUGUCCUACACUGUAUUUACUCAAAUGUCUCCUCAUCCAGACUGUGACUGAUAUGAGGAAGGAGACCAAGGGGAGUAGAAAUAUCAGGGUGCCAGCACUUUAAAAAGUUUCCAUGGUCUGUCUUGCCUGUGGCACUUGGCUUCCUUUUGCCACAGUCCUGGGCAGCCGUGUUCUUUAUUUCUGAAGGUGAGGUUACCACCUCUCCUACUCUCUCCGGCAGGCAGCACAGCAGUCCCCCAAAGGUGUCCGUGUCUAACCCCCAGAACCUGUGUACACAUUAGGUCACAUGGCAAAGAAGAACAAAGUUGCAGAUGGAAUUGUUUAUGAAUCCGCUGACCUUAAAAUGGCAAGAUGGUUCUGGAUGAUCUGGGUGGGCCCCCUGUAAAUACAAGACUCUUUAAAAGUGGAAAAGAGAGGCAGACGAGAGGGUGAGAGGUGCAAUGCAAGAGGAACCGGCCCCAUCAUUGCUGGCCUUCAGGGUGGAAGAAGGCGCCACGAGCCAAGGAAUGCUGGACGGACGAAAAUGCAAAGAAAUGGAUUCACCUCUAGAGCCUCUGCAAGGAACACGGCUCUGAGACACCUUGAUUUUAGCCCAUUGAGGCCCAUUUUGGAUUUCUAAACUGCUGAAUUGUAAGAUGAUAAAUGCGUGUGGUGUUGAGUUGCUGCACUUGUGGUGAUUUGUUACAGCGGCCACGGGAAACUAAUACACUCUUCCUGCCCUGCUCCUGACAGAGCCUGGCCUUCCUCUUCCCCUCUGCACAUCCCCUAGCAUGAAGCAGUAACUGGACAGAACUACCUUUGGGCCAUCCCAGGAAUGGUGCCCUCUGGGCCUGGCCAUCAGGGCUUCCUUCCUUCCCAUCUUGCUGCCCGCCCUGGAGAGUACCACCAUCACCCAAGGCUCACAGAGUCUACUGCUGUGUCUGAGUCCCGCUUCCUACCAGCAACCCAACAAUUUUGGACAGAGGAAAGUUUUGUCAGAGGAAAUCUAUAGGUUUUGUUUGUCACAACUCAUUUGCCUUUCUCUCGGUGUCACCUCUCCAGAUUCUCCUUUUCUUUUUUUCUUUUCUGCCUAAGAUAAACAUUGGGCUUAUAUGACUGGCAAAUUGCAUGUUGUCUCGAUUUCUUCGUCUUCACCCCCUGAAGCAAGGAAUCCUUAGAAGGAUGAUCACACCUAGGCCAGAUA
rnacentral:lncRNA from 1 species